rnacentral:pre_miRNA from 1 species
CAUUUAUGGGGUUAAACUGUACGUUGUAUGUGCAAAUCUUAAGAAAUCCAUAAGCGUAUAGCUUUUCCCCUUAAAAG